CCUACGGGAGGCAGCAGUGAGGAAUAUUGGUCAAUGGGCGCAAGCCUGAACCAGCCAAGUCGCGUGAGGGAUGACGUUCCUAUGGAUUGUAAACCUCUUUUGUCGGGGAGCAAGGCCCGCCACGUGUGGCGGGAAGGAGAGUACCCGAAGAAAAAGCAUCGGCUAACUCCGUGCCAGCAGCCGCGGUAAUACGGAGGAUGCGAGCGUUAUCCGGAUUUAUUGGGUUUAAAGGGUGCGUAGGCGGAAGGUUAAGUCAGCGGUAAAAUGUCGGUGCUCAACACCGGCCUGCCGUUGAAACUGGUCUUCUUGAGUGAGCGAGAAGUAUGCGGAAUGCGUGGUGUAGCGGUGAAAUGCAUAGAUAUCACGCAGAACUCCGAUUGCGAAGGCAGCAUACCGGCGCUCAACUGACGCUGAGGCACGAAAGCGUGGGGAUCGAACAGGAUUAGAUACCCCAGUAGUC
rnacentral:rRNA from 1 species